GGAUUGCCUUAGUAACGGCGAGUGAAGCGGCAAAAGCUCAAAUUUGAAAUCUGGUACCUUCGGUGCCCGAGUUGUAAUUUGGAGAGGGCAACUUUGGGGCCGUUCCUUGUCUAUGUUCCUUGGAACAGGACGUCAUAGAGGGUGAGAAUCCCGUGUGGCGAGGAGUGCGGUUCUUUGUAAAGUGCCUUCGAAGAGUCGAGUUGUUUGGGAAUGCAGCUCUAAGUGGGUGGUAAAUUCCAUCUAAAGCUAAAUAUUGGCGAGAGACCGAUAGCGAACAAGUACAGUGAUGGAAAGAUGAAAAGAACUUUGAAAAGAGAGUGAAAAAGUACGUGAAAUUGUUGAAAGGGAAGGGCAUUUGAUCAGACAUGGUGUUUUGUGCCCUCUGCUCCUUGUGGGUAGGGGAAUCUCGCAUUUCACUGGGCCAGCAUCAGUUUUGGUGGCAGGAUAAAUCCAUAGGAAUGUAGCUUGCCUCGGUAAGUAUUAUAGCCUGUGGGAAUACUGCCAGCUGGGACUGAGGACUGCGACGUAAGUCAAGGAUGCUGGCAUAAUGGUUAUAUGCCGCCCGUCUUGAAACACGGACCUCCUGUGUGAAGUGA
rnacentral:rRNA from 1 species